rnacentral:tRNA from 2 species
GCCGAAGUAGCUCAGGGGUAGAGCGCAUCCUUGGUAAGGAUGAGGUCACGAGUUCAAAUCUCGUUUUCGGCU